rnacentral:rRNA from 1 species
CACGGAUCCAGAGUUUGAUCAUGGCUCAGGAUGAACGCUAGCGGCAGGCUUAACACAUGCAAGUCGAGGGGCAUCAUGGUGGUAGCUUGCUACCGCUGAUGGCGACCGGCGCACGGGUGAGUAACACGUAUCCAACCUGCCUUGAGCUCAGGGAUAGCCCUCUGAAAGGAGGAUUAAUACCUGAUGUGGUUGUUUGCUGACAUCAGCUUUCAAUUAAAGAUUUAUCGGCUCAUGAUGGGGAUGCGUCUGAUUAGCUUGUUGGCGGGGUAACGGCCCACCAAGGCGACGAUCAGUAGGGGUUCUGAGAGGAAGGUCCCCCACAUAGGAACUGAGACACGGUCCUAACUCCUACGGGAGGCAGCAGUGAGGAAUAUUGGUCAAUGGUCGAGAGACUGAACCAGCCAAGUAGCGUGAAGGAUGACUGCCCUACGGGUUGUAAACUUCUUUUAUGCGGGAAUAAAGUGUGGCACGUGUGCCAUUUUGUAUGUACCGCAUGAAUAAGCAUCGGCUAAUUCCGUGCCAGCAGCCGCGGUAAUACGGAAGAUGCGAGCGUUAUCCGGAUUUAUUGGGUUUAAAGGGAGCGUAGGCGGACGCUUAAGUCUGCGGUAAAAUGUCGUUGCUCAACAUCGGCGUGCCGUGGAAACUGGGUGUCUUGAAUGUGCACAAGGUGGAUGGAAUUCGUGGUGUAGCGGUGAAAUGCUUAGAUAUCACGAAGAACUCCGAUUGCGAAGGCAGUCCACUGGGGCAUGAUUGACGCUGAGGCUCGAAAGCCGGGGUAGCGAACGGGAUUAGAUACCCCGGUAGUCCCAGCUGUAAACGAUGAGUGCUAGGUGUGGGAGGUAUCGACUCCUCCCGUGCCGGAGUCAACGCAAUAAGCACUCCGCCUGGGGAGUACGGUCGCAAGACUGAAACUCAAAGGAAUUGACGGGGGCCCGCACAAGCGGUGGAGUAUGUGGUUUAAUUCGACGCAACGCGAAGAACCUUACCAAGCCUUGACAUUGAUUGAUGGUCUAUGAAAGUAGACGUUCUCUUCGGAGACAAGAAAACAGGUGGUGCAUGGCUGUCGUCAGCUCGUGUCGUGAGAUGUUGGGUUAAGUCCCGCAACGAGCGCAACCCCUACACUGUGUUGCCAGCGAGUAAAGUCGGGGACUCACAGAGGACAGCCCGAGAUAAUCGGGAGGAAGGCGGGGAUGACGUCAAGUCAUCAUGCCCCAUAUGGCUUGGGCUACACACGUACUACAAUGGGACGGAACAGAGGGAAGCGAAGUCGUGAGGCAGAGCAAAACCGAAAAAACGUGCCACAGUUCGGAUUGCAGGCUGAAACUCGCCUGCAUGAAGUCGGAAUCGCUAGUAAUCGCAGGUCAGCAUACUGCGGUGAAUACGUUCCCGGGCCUUGUACACACCGCCCGUCACACCACGGAAGUCGAUCACACCCGAAGUGCAGAGAUGCCCUAAGGCGGGGUCGGUGACUGGGGUGAAGUCGUAACAAGGUAGCCGUAAGCUUCAC